rnacentral:rRNA from 1 species
GAUGAACGCUGGCGGCGUGCCUAAUACAUGCAAGUCGAGCGAACAGAUGAGGAGCUUGCUCCUCUGACGUUAGCGGCGGACGGGUGAGUAACACGUGGAUAACCUACCUAUAAGACUGGGAUAACUUCGGGAAACCGGAGCUAAUACCGGAUAAUAUAUUGAACCGCAUGGUUCAAUAGUGAAAGACGGUUUUGCUGUCACUUAUAGAUGGAUCCGCGCCGCAUUAGCUAGUUGGUAAGGUAACGGCUUACCAAGGCAACGAUGCGUAGCCGACCUGAGAGGGUGAUCGGCCACACUGGAACUGAGAAACGGUCCAGACUCCUACGGGAGGCAGCAGUAGGGAAUCUUCCGCAAUGGGCGAAAGCCUGACGGAGCAACGCCGCGUGAGUGAUGAAGGUCUUCGGAUCGUAAAACUCUGUUAUUAGGGAAGAACAAAUGUGUAAGUAACUAUGCACGUCUUGACGGUACCUAAUCAGAAAGCCACGGCUAACUACGU